UACGGAGGGGGCAAGCGUUGUUCGGAAUUACUGGGCGUAAAGGGCGCGUAGGCGGACCUUCAAGUCAGGGGUGAAAGGCCUGGGCUCAACCUGGGAACUGCCUUUGAAACUGGAGGUCUUGAGUCCGGGAGAGGAUGGCGGAAUUCCCAGUGUAGAGGUGAAAUUCGUAGAUAUUGGGAAGAACACCGGUGGCGAAGGCGGCCAUCUGGUCCGGCACUGACGCUGAGGAGCGAAAGCGUGGGGAGCAAACAGG
rnacentral:rRNA from 1 species